CGUCCAUUAAUGUGGUGACGAGCAGUGACGAGGCAGAUCGAUUGAUCGAUCUAAUUAAUAACAAAGGUGAGAAUGCCAUUAGCAAUAAAAGUUCCUAGUAUAAGAUUCUCUGCUAUCCGUGGCUCCUAUCGACUCCAAGUAGUUGAAAGCGUCGCUCACCGACAGCCAAGAACGCCUCGGAGGCGAUGAAUCGCAAUCAAUUAGGUUAUUUGUAUUUAUAAAAGUCUGUUAUAAAUAAUCUCAAUAAAAGAAUAUAUUAUUCA